AACAUGUGUGGAGGAGACUUUCUGUUGGGAUUUUUUUUCCUAUCUGUACUUUGGCCUAAACUAUCCAAAAUCCAAAUACUGUCACAUUUGUGAGAUGAAUUUGACAAGUGCCACACAUGCAAAUUCCUACAUUUUUAAUGAGAAGAAAUUGAUUGCAUGCUUGCCAUUUAUCAUACAACCUCAAACUAUGGGCCCCAUUUAAGUAAACAUUAAUUUCAAGUAAAACAAUCAUAUUUUGAACAAAAACAAAAUUGGUUUCUUUAGCCAAAAAAAAAGAAGAGGAUACCAAUAAUAGCUGCUUUGUAAAUUUCAUAAUAAAUAAUAGGGAACAAAAUUCACAAUUUCAUUAAUUCCUUAAUUUAAAGUAUUUUUUUCAUCUAAUUUAUCCAAAACGAAGAAGAAAAAAAACUUCUUUCUGAAAUGAAAAAAGUUUUAUUUUGUAUGAAAAGGGUAGUAAAAAUGAAAAAAUCACAUCUUAUUGAAAAAGUCAUUAAUACCAUUAUAUUCGAAAAAAUGAUAACACGUUUUUACUUCUUAAUUACAAUCUUUUUUCUUACUUUCUUAAUAAUUACUUAUUUUUCAAUAAACGAGAAGAUAAAUGUACAAUAAAUAUUAUAUAUUCUCAUUUCCUUUUGUUUUACCGUAACCAACAUUACUUUGAAGUAAAAUUUUAUCUCACAUUUUAAUUACUUCUUUCUAUAUUUUAAACAAACAUUUUUCAAUGAGAUAAGAAAAUACUUAUUGUAAACAACAAAUAUUUUCAUCUACUUCUUUUUUCCAACCCAUUUAACAGCAAAAGGACAAUAAUUAGAAGUAAAGUUAUUUCAACCUAGAUCAUCAACACGACUGAAUAAUAUCACAUGGCAUUACCAAUGGACCCAAACAUUCAAGUUAUGUUAUGCCAUAUACACGUAAGCCAACAUAUUAUAUUUUUUAAAAUUUAAAUCGAAUUUGGGUAAGGCUUAGCCACAUAGACAUAUUAAAAAACUAACUAACGGAUGAGGCGUAUUUAUACCAUUUUAUAAGCUGGUAAACAUUCUAGUUAAAUUAGAAAACCCAGACACAUUUCUUAUUAAAUGACUGUAUUUUUUUAUAACGACAAUACAACCUGUAAAUGAAAUAAUUUUAAAAAAUUGUGUACAAGUUUAUCUUAUCCACUUUUCCUAUCAGUAUUAAAGACUGAUCAUGAUUCAAUGACCUUUUUUUAUUUUUUCCUGAAUAUUUAAAUAUGAUAUAUCAGUAGUACUCAUGUGGGGUUAUUGUUUGGGUAUAUGAUACUGUAUUUAAAAUUUGCUUUUUGAUUUAAAGUCUAUCCUUUCAUCAUUUUUUGUCUUUCUUUUUUAAAGAGUAAACAAAGAGUAGUGUUGUUACAAUUAAUGACGGCUCAAUAAAAUUAGUAGCCUAAAACUAAAUUUAAAUAAAAGAUUUGUUUUAUGUAAUUUUUGUUUAUAACGUUAUACUUUUAUAAGAUAUAAAACUUAUAAGUUCAUAAUAGCUAUUAAUAGUAUUAAAUAUAUAUUGUGAAUGCUAAUUCAAGUUAACAAGAUGAUAGUCAUGUAUUUUUAAUAUGUUUCUUUCGAUCUCGUCCUAAAAAAUAUUACUAAUAUGAUAUUUAAAUAAUUUAAUUUAGAUUUCCAAAAUAUUUUUAUUGUUAAAAAUAGACAAUCUUCUUAGUAUCUUUCUUAAUAAAACUUUUGUAGUUUUUUUAACGAAUUUAAUAUUAUUUAAUCCAAAAUAACAUAGGAAAUCAAAAUUUUUUGGCCCCAAAAGUUUUGGGGGUCUAAAGCAAAGAAUAGCAAGUAAGAAACCGUCAGCAAAAGAAUAGCAAGAGGAAGUUUGAGAAUUGAGAGCAUGGAUUGGUUGCUUUGACUGGGUUUUAUUUUUCAGUGUUGUACUCUACACAGACACUUCAAAGGUAUUUUUAUUUUUGUGUUCUUGAAAAUGGCUUUUCAUUUUAUUUCCUGUCACUUAUUCUUCUCUGUGUUUUUAUUUUAUUUUAUUUUAUGGAACGGUUUGAAGUCUUUCAUGUUGUUUCAAUGAAUAAAUGAGACAACUUUUGGUGUUUCAGUGUUCAGAGAAUUGUUAAAAUUUUGAUUUUAUUAUAUACUAGAAAGUUUUUUUAUGUUCAAAAUCUGGUUAUGUCUCUGUUGCUUUAAUUCUAGUUUUAGGUUAGUUUCUAUAUCAAACAUAGAAAUUAGUGCUGUCCAGUAGUUUGAAUCUCCAUAAUUUUUAGUGUUUUGACUCUUUUGGUAAAACUGAUGAUUGCUUAUUAUUGCCAUUACCAUUUAUGGCUAGGUUAAUGUUUAUAUGAAGUACUGUCAGAUAAAGUAGGCUGCUGUGUCUUCCUUUUUUAUCUCAUUUUAAAGAUUUUUUAUUUUUUAUUUUUACUUCAUUCUGCCCCUCCUUUAUUCAAGAAUCUAAUGAUUUUGAUUUUUAUCUCAAAACCAAAUAUAAAUGUAUGCUGAUUCCAUUCCAAUUAGUAACCACUGUUCUUUGAUAUAUAUGCUGGAAAUGCAGUUGUGUUUUAUGGUAUUGUAAGUAUUUGGUUUUGUGUCUAAGUCAAACAUUCAUGUUGAUUUCUUAGGUUGAAGAUGAACAUGGACUUUUCCGAGUCUACAAAAGUUGUAUAUAAUCGAAUUCAGAAACUAGAGCCAGAAAAUGUGUCUAAGAUAAUUGGUUAUCUCCUUUUACAAGAUCAUGGUGAACAGGAUAUGAUUAGAUUAGCGUUUAGUCCCGACAAUUUGAUCCAUUCCUUGAUUAAUAAAGCUAAGAAAGAUCUUGGAUUAUCAUCCAAACCAGCCAUUUCUGGUCCUCUUUCACCCCCCUUAGUCAAUCGAGCAUUAUCUUCAGACAUUCCCUUGAACUUUGUUCCAUUCUCAUCAGCUUCACCUCGUCCCUUUUCGACUCUUCAAGUUGGAAAUCCAUACUGGGAGCCUCAAGGUCAUGCCGAAAAUCAUCCAAUUCAUACCUUGGAUUUUCUACCUGUUGGUUGCUCGGAUACUAUGACCGAUGAACGCCAACUCCCAAACCAACUUCAGUUCUUAUCUUUAGAUGAUCAGUCAGACCAUGUUAAUUCAGAAUUCUCCGGCGACCACUAUUUCUCUGUAUCUGCAUUAGGCCCAAGAUCGAGUCGAAGGUCUCCAAGCUUGCCCGAGUUUCCUGUUAAGGUCUGCCAUUAUUUUAACAAAGGCUUUUGUAAGCAUGGAACCAACUGUCGGUACUUUCACGGCCAUCCAAAUCCGGAAAGCUUCUCCCAAGUCUUCAACUCAAACUUAAAUGAAAUGGGAAGUGAUGAACAUAUCUUCAAGCCUGGAUCUCUAGAGAAAAUAGAGAUGGAACUUACCGAGCUUCUCAAAUCUAGACGGGGUCUUCCUGUUUCAAUUGCUUCGUUGCCUAUGUUGUACUAUGAGAAGUAUGGGAGGACACUUCAGGCUGAGGGUUAUUUGACCGAAAGUCAAAGACAUGGGAAAGCUGGAUAUAGCCUGACUAAGCUCCUCGCUCGAUUAAGAAAUAGCAUUCGUGUCAUCGACAGGUCCAACUUGUAUAGUUCUCGCCUUUGGUGGAUUAUGUUCUUUGACAUAGACUUUAUUUGAUAUAAAUGUUUGUAUUUGAGACAGGCCCCAUGGACAGCAUGCCGUUAUUUUAGCUGAGGAUGUUCCAAAAUAUAUGGAGUACAGUGGCGAAAGAAAUGAACACGGAGCAAUUGUAGCCGGUUCUCGCCAGAUUUAUCUGACCUUUCCGGCUGAGAGUACCUUCAGCGAGCAAGAUGUUUCCAACUAUUUCAAGUAAGUUACUCCAAGUGAAUUGACAUCUACGAUUAGUAGCUGUUUUCCGUCUUCACAACUUAUUAGAGCCUUCUCAUGUUUAUGCAGUCAAUUUGGACCAGUACAAGAUGUUAGGAUUCCUUGUCAGCAGAAGAGAAUGUUUGGGUUUGUAACUUUUGUUUUCCCAGAGACAGUUAAGCAGAUCCUGGCAAAGGGGAAUCCUCAUUUAGUUUGUGGUGCACGUGUUUUGGUGAAACCUUACAGGGAAAAGUCCAAGCUUGUAGAUAGGUAUAUUUCCUGGUUUCUUUUAUUAUGAAGGCUUCUAAUAGUUUAUUUGCAUAUUUGUUAAUUAUAGAUCAAAGAUCCUCAUUUUCAAUGUACCCUACUUAACAUUGUGUGUGGAAUGUUGGGAUGCAAUGAUGUUGCGUUGCUAAUGCCUUUUGUGUUUGUAGUUUAAUGUAUUGAUAUUAGCAGUGAUGGCUCUUUGAAUACUCUCAUUGAUAUGUGAACCUGUAUUUUCAGAUCUGUGGUUGGUUAAAUGGAAUCUCAUUUGUUUCCCUAUCUAACAAUAUUAUCUUCUAUUGAAGAUUACUUCUUCGGGGUAGGGGUAAGGUCUGCGUACACACUACCCUCCCCAGACCCCAUUAGUGGGAUUUUACUGGGUUGUUGUUGUUGUUGAAGAUUAUGAUCAUAAUAAUCUGUCAGACAACUGAGAUACUUGAGGAGCAUUGGCUUAAUUCUUGUCCAAUCUAUUUUAUUUGUUUAUUUUAACUCACCUAGCAUAUUGUUCAGCAAACAUCUUUCAUACAAAUCAAAUUAAUGUUUACACAUUUCCCUCAACUGUUGAUGUCGUGAUUGAGUGAUGCUUCAAAAUAUAUUGUCUUGUGAAAACUUUUCAUUGGAUUGCGUAUAACUUUUUGUAUAGAUUUGCAUUUGAUAUGAUCUUUAUCUUAUCUCUGCAGAAAAUGCCUCGAGAAAGCUUAUCAAGCUUCCUACUAUAAUUCCUCGUUCAUUGACGCAGAAUCCGAACUCCAAUCUUGUAAGAUGCACUUCAACUCAAACAAUCAAAACCUACCUUAUAUUUUGUCAUAGAAGUAAUAAUUUUUAUCGUUUUUUUAGCACCUAGAGUCUGUGAAAAUUCAAGACUAAUGAAAAAACAACUCAUGGAGGAACAAGAGCGUGCAAUUGAGUUUGAGAGGCAGCAUUUUCCAGAGUUGCAAUUAGCUGCAAAAACUUUGCAUCAUCAAAUGCGCCUUGGUUACUCAGUAGAGGAUUUGAAGCUUAGAGAAGGUUCUUUAACAUGUAAUUCUGAAGCAUAUCCUCCCCUAAGAUCCUCGACUAUCCAUCUUUACCUGACAUUGUUCUUUUCUUUGCUUUUCGUGCUUCCUCCUGUAUAGGCCGUAGCGAAAAACUGGAGUUCCCAUCAGCCGAGAGUUUUAAUUACCUGCUAGAUGUAUAUAACAAUGGUUCCACCAGCGAGGACAAAGCUAGGCACGUUAAAAUGAGUCACUGUGACCAAGAAGGGUAAGACAUUUUGAUACUGUCGUUUUGAGUUUUAUGCUCUUUGUAUCAUUUUCUUGAGCCGAGGGUCUAUAGGAAGCAGCCUCUCUACCUUCCCAAGGAAGGGGUAAGGUCUGCGUACAGCCAUACACACUACUCUCCCCAGACCCCACUUGUGGAAUUUCACUAGGUUGUUGUUGUCGUAUGCUCUUUGUGACCAGGAGGUCACUAGUUCGAGCUGUGGAUAUAGCCUCUUGCAGAAUUGCAGGGUAAGGCUGCGUACAAUAGACCCUUGUGGUCCAGCCUUCCCCGUAUUCCACGCAUAGCGGGAGCUUAGUGCAUCGGGCUGCGCUUUAUUGUUGUCGUAUGCGCUUUGUAUCAUUUUGAGUUUGUUGUCGAUAUUUGUUCUUAUUUAAUCAGUUCUUCGGGAUGUUGCAGUGGUCAAGGAUUGAAUCUUCCAGAUAGCCCGUUUGCAUCUCCAAUAAGGAAUGGCAUUUCAACUGUCAUUUAGGUUCAGAAACACAGAAGGAUUAUAGAGUUUAAAGAGGACUGAGUUUUGGAAAGCAGUUCGUUGGUUCGACACAUAAAAGUACUUUUCUUCCUAAAUAUUUCCAUAAAACAGUUACUAUUAAAUAGUUGCUCAACUGCCUGCAAAUACACCUGAUCCUACAGAAAGCGCGAGAAGUUAUUCGUUUUCAUUUUUUAGGUGAACAUCAUAAGAGAAUUACAUAGAAAAAGAAUCGCGACAUGUAACAAGUUUCAUAGGUUUUCAGCUUUGAUAAGAAGUUAAUGAUAGGGAGCAAGUUUGAUGCUUGCUUUGCAGGUUUUAGAAGUUAAAAUGUAAUUAUGGUUUUUUUUCUAAGUGUGAUGGAGAAGAAAAUAGGCUCAGAUUCAGAGUUUGGUGUCCAUUGUAGAGCUCUCUGCUACUUGACAGAAAUGCUAAAUGUUGCUAACAAUAAAGUUAUACAUAGUUUUCAUUUCUAGUCUCUGUUUACUUUCUGAACACAAAUUUGUCAUUUAUAUUUUGGCGUAACCGGUAAAGUUGACUCCAUGUGACCAGAAGGUCAUGAGUUUGAGCCGUGGAAAUAACCUCUUGUAGAAAUGUAGGGUAAGACUGCGUACAAUAGACCCCUGUAGUCAAGCCCUUCCCCAGACCCCGCACAUAGCGGGAGCUUAGUACAUCGGUGAUAUCCGAAUCAGCUUGCAUGCAUAGGUGGUAUUCGAAUCAGCUUGCGUGCACCUCGGGUAAUCCUCUUUGUUUGCUAAAAAUGUAAAUAUAAAGUAGUUGAAUAUGGAUCAUAUAUGUGGUCCUCUACUGCUUGUUCUCUUAGUUGUACAAAAGGGUCCCCAAUAGUAAAGAAAAUGUAUAUUAGACCCUUGAUAUGCGGAACUGAUGCAAGUUGUAUUUUUUUAAAAUUAUAUUUAAUGCCAAAACUAAGUAAAUUGACCAUCUUAGAAAGUUAUUAUUUUGUCGCUUUCAUCCACGUUGAUCUACUUUAUUAUUUAUUGCUUUCACCAUUAUACAACUGAAAAAUAUUGUUUUUUUUUUUUUUGCAAUUUGUGAGAUUGACUUUGAUAAAGUAGUGGUGCUGAAGUGCGACAAUUAUUUAGAUUUGUGGACAUUAUGUGAAUUUUAAUUUUAGAUUUGUAGGACCGACGUAUCUACUAUCUGUUUUUUAAUCUUUUAUACGACACAGAUGUUACAUGUCUAUGGCCAUAAAUGUUUUUGUUCAUACAUUUCUUAGCCACAAACACACUUCAUACUUCAAAAGUAGUUUGAUUCUCUUCGCAUCCACUAGUUUUAUUGAUUUAUAUUUUUUUAAAAUCAAAACUAAGCUCCAUUUGGUAGUUUGUGAGAUAUUUCUUCACUAAAAUAGAAUAGUUUGGAAAUUCAUAGAAUUAUCUAUAAAAUAAUGUAGCAGGAAAUUAAUUUAGGACAAAAGAUAAUAAACAACUUUUGCCAAUUUGGGAUUAAAAAUUAGGAUCUUUUCAUACAUAUGCUAAAUUAUAAAGUUAUUUACCUGAAAUGUGUAAAGUUUGCUAUUUAUCAAAGUAGACUGACUAUAUAUAUAAAUAUAUUUUUUUCACUCUGUUCAUCUGUUCUUUCCAACCUUUUAAAGAUAUAAAUUUUUUCUUAACACAACUUUUUUUUAAACCUCACCAUGGCCGUAGUUAAAUAUAUUUGCCCACUUUAACACCUUUCUGAUAAUAUUUUGGGCUUAUUUUAACUGGUCUCUCCUAGAAAUUUAUAGGUUAAUCCAUCAGAGUUAUUAAGAAGUUGGAAAGAUAACCAUAUACUUAGAGUGAUUUUUUUAGUUAUUUACAAACUAGCAACUAAGAAAUUAAAGAUAUAAGACAUAAUAUAAAAGCUUUAAAUAAAUCGGGGUAAUAAACAGAAAUAUAAUUUAUAAAAACAGUAACUUACAUGUUUACAGGAGAGGGAUUUCCCUUUCGGUAAACUCGAAAGAGUUUACUGGACUUAAAAACUUGCACACUAAAGCAUAAAUCUUUAUUUAUUUUACAUGUUUGAGAUAGAAAAUACUAAAGCAUAUAUAGUGAAAUAUUUUAAAAAGAGAGGUGUGGAGGAUGGUUUUUCUGGUGUAGGUGAAGGGAAUGGUGAAGAGAGUAUGUUUUUCUUCA
rnacentral:lncRNA from 1 species